GACGAACGCUGGCGGCGUGCCUAAUACAUGCAAGUAGAACGCUGAAGGAGGAGCUUGCUUCUCUGGAUGAGUUGCGAACGGGUGAGUAACGCGUAGGUAACCUGCCUGGUAGCGGGGGAUAACUAUUGGAAACGAUAGCUAAUACCGCAUAAGAGUAGAUGUUGCAUGACAUUUGCUUAAAAGGUGCAAUUGCAUCACUACCAGAUGGACCUGCGUUGUAUUAGCUAGUUGGUGAGGUAACGGCUCACCAAGGCGACGAUACAUAGCCGACCUGAGAGGGUGAUCGGCCAAAAUGGGACUGAGACACGGCCCAGGCUCCUACGGGAGGCAGCAGUAGGGGAUCUUCGGCAAUGGACGGAAGUCUGACCGGGCAACGCCGCGUGGGUGAAGAAAGUUUUCGGAUCGUAAAGCUCUGUUGUAAGAGAAGAACGAGUGUGAGAGUGGAAAGUUCACGCUGUGACGGUAUCUUACCAGAAAGGGACGGCUAACUACGUG
rnacentral:rRNA from 1 species